AAGGACACAACCACUUGGAGAUGCAGUAGAAGCGAAGCUCAAACAGCAUCUCCACCUGGAGUGUGACCCAAGCCAAACUCCCCACCGUAUCUUCCCCUCCAAACCUCCACAGGUCUUGCCAGUUUCCACCGCACUUCUCUAGUCCUGUUCCCCAUAUCGACCUUGCUGUUCUUAUGUCACAGGAGACAUUAAUCCUAGGUUCGUUAUAUGUGGAGGCCUUUCUUGAGAGAGAUCGGUUGGUGAUCUGACCGACUGAUUUGGUGUCAGUGCAGUUUGGCACCAGUAGUACAUCAACAUUGAUCCGUUCCUUUCUACUCAUAAUAGCCGGG
rnacentral:lncRNA from 1 species